UGGUUUGGCUUUAGGUGCAUUUGGGUCUUUAGGUGGCUUAGGUGGCUUAGGUGCCUUGGGGACUUUUGGUGGUUUGGGUGCCUUGGGUUCCUUGGGUUGAGCUGGUCUGCCUCUUUUUUUGGCCGGGGCUACAAGAGAAGUUGGCAAGCUCCUGUUGAUCCAUCAUGGGUUCUGGAUUAGCCAUGUGUGCCCCGGCUGCCUCCUCCGCCUCCCCCUCUGGGUAAGGAUAGUGAUGAUUGGGGUUGAAGCCUGAAUAUUGGUUCUGGAGAGCUUGAAACUGCUGUGCAGACUGAACCCUGAUGUGAGGGAAUAAUGUGAAAAGAUAAUAAAUAAAGCAAGAAGAAUAGCAGCCUUAUGUGCUACAGUUAGACUAGUGUAUUGUAUAAAAGCAAUGUGUCUCAUUGUUUGAAUAUCUCUACAUGAAACACAGUGAGGAUUAACAAUUUGGUUUUAUAAAUUAAUACAACUAAUGAGUUCCUGCUGAGGUUUAAAUAAAUGUAUUUAUAAGUUUCUUCAUAAGAACUUAUUAGCUCUAAAUAUCUUAAUCUGUAUAUAUAAUGUAUGUUUACAAUAAUGCUAAACUUGUAACAAACAUGGCUUCAUAAGGUUUGUGACAGAACACGUGAUGAAGCCAUGUGGCCAAAAUCAUGUUGUUUGUUUGAGAAUGUAACUUAAUAAAAAUAAGUAAUUCAG